GGCGCUAUAGCCAAGUGGUUACGGCGACAGAUUCGAAUAUCACAACAACCUGUUCCUCUUUGAGGGCGCAGGUUCAAAUCCUGCUGGCGUCG